rnacentral:rRNA from 1 species
AUUGAACGCUGGCGGCCGGCCUAACACCUGCAAGUCGAGCGGAGCGGCGGACGGGUGAGUAAUGCCUAGGAAUCUUCCUGGUAGUGUGGGAUAACGUCCGGAAACGGGCGCUAAUACCGCAUACUAUCAGAUGAGCCUAGGUCGGAUUAGCUGGUUGGUGGGGUAAAGGCCUACCAAGGCGACGAUCCGUAACUGGUCUGAGAGGAUGAUCAGUCACAAUGGAACUGGGACACGGUCCAGACUCCUACGGGAGGCAGCAGUGGGGAAUAUUGGAAAAUGGGCGAAAGCCUGAUACAACCAUGCCGCGUGAGUGAAGAAGGUCUUCGGAUUGUAAAGCACUUUAAGUUGGGAGGCGUUACCAACAGAAAAAGCACCGGCUAACUUCGUGCCAGCAGCCGCGGUAAUAC